CUGCUGGGGCUGCAGGUGGAGGAGCUGCAGGAGGAGAACUACAGGCUGGAGAGCGGGCGGGAGGAGCUGCAGGUGCGCUGCUCUCACCUGGAGCGGGAGGCUCGGGGGCUGCAGGUGAAGGCGCAGGAGCUGCAGGUGAAGGCGGGCGAGGCCCAGGUGCUGCGGGACGAGGUGGAGCUGCUCAGGUGAGGGGGCACCUGGACAGGUGAGGGGGGACCUGGGCAGGUGAGGGGGGACCUGGGCAGGUGAGGAGGAGGAGGUGGGCUCGCUACCUGCUCAGGUGGG